AUACUUUCUUGUUGAAAUUAGUAUUUUAAUGUGUGAAUCUGUGUGUGACUGUGAAGUGCUUAAGGCCUUGAAGAAGGCAUAAAAGUAUACGUGUCACGGUACCCCCAGCCGGCUCCUCCUCAUCAUCAGGUCCACCUGCUGACACCAGCUGUGCCUCAUCAUCAUCAUCAGGGGCUGGACUCUUAAGGAGUGUGAUGACUGCAGUCACACAAGAUUAUUAUUAAGGUGAAGUGUACACUUUUCAUUUGUAGUUGUGUGUAUUUUUUUGCUAUGAUUAUUUGUGUAUAUUGAUUCUUUGUUUGAGUUUUCAUGUGGAGCUGUACCGGCUUGAGGUGGCCAAGAGAUGGUGCCAAAUGGAGCGGCUUUCAAAAAGGGUUCUACCAUUACCUGGACUCCAUGGGGGAGGGAAUGGGUUUCUCUGUUCUGCUUGUGUUGUGUUUUGUCUUAACCCCCCCCCCAUUGUAUCAUUAGUGGUUCAAUCCACUUACUUAAAAGUCCUCAGGUGUGUGUUAAUGGGAGGUCAGUCUUUUGGGUUCUUUCCUAAGUCGCAAGUUUGUUCACCUCUUUUAUGGGCCCUUUUAAAACUAUGUUUGUUCAGUGGGAUCCUUGACAUUAAAAAGAAUUUAUUUUUGGACUAAAUAUCUGUGCUCUUGGCCGUGUUUGUCUGAUCCAUCACAAGGAGAACCAGGACCUGUACUCGACGCUAGUUCGUUGUACUCCACGGAUCCUCUCCUCCUCUCGUCUGGAACACUUGGACUGAACUCACCUCUCGCUGAUUCCUGUCUCGACGUCCCUCUGGCUUCCCUUUGGAUCACGGUGUUCGCCCUCAAGAACCUCCAACCAUCUUCUACGCAUUCUGCCCUGCAAAUCCUGUUCUACCACAUUAAAACUUCUUAUACUUAC